rfam:Gossypium hirsutum cultivar TM-1 chromosome 23, whole genome shotgun sequence
AAUCCAUACACCAGACAUUUCUGAAUUAAGUCUUUAAAUCGUUCCUAAGCUUUAUAUAGUGUUUCAUCUUCUAAUUGCUGAAAACAUGCGAUGUCAUUUCUAAGCUU